GGGGUAAAGGUUCCUUAGUCGAAAACCAUUAUUGAUUCUGUUUCUGAUGAGGACAUUCAAAAACUUCUUGCUGAAGCCACCCAAGCAGCCAAGAAACAGGAGGAAAGGAUGAUGGAAAUGAAAAAUAAGGGUCUCUGGAUGUUGCUUGCUCCAAGAGGUAUGUUUCCAUGAUUAAAAAGAGUUUUAUAGAAGAACAUAAUAUGGAGGAAAACAGUUUUGUUUAUCAUGAAAUAGAUGUACUUAUUAAGAAUGGUGGUUUAAUGGGUUUAGUGAGUUAUGUUAAGCCAUAUGUUCACAAUGUUGUCAUGGAAUUUUAUGUUAAUUUGCUUCGAAGUGUUAGUGAUAUGCACAACAAGCUGCAUCAAAAGGCUUUUGUGUGUGGAAAGUGGUAUGAAUUCAACCCUCCAAUGUUAAGAAAGGUCUUGAAUUGCUACUGUCAAAACAUGGUGGAGUUGAAUGAGACCUUGGACCAAACUGUAGCGGCCAUAACCAACAACGUGCAUUUAUCUUGGCCUGCAAAAAAAUAAUAUUCAUGCCUCUUCUCUUUCAACUAUGUAUGUUAAGAAAGGUCGUCCUUGCAAACGCCGACUCAGUUAGGGGGAUGCACUACGAGCUGCUGUGACACGGUCGCAGUCAUUCACAGAGGGAGGAGAUGAGUUCACCAAUCAACCUUGAUGUGCACAUGAAGACGAGGCCAAAGAUCAACCCCGACAUGCACAUGAAGACAAGGCCAAAGUUCCAAUGGAGUCGCCAACCUAAAUAGUGCGACGAAACCCUAGGCGUACCCGACACGCACCUGGUUGUGGCACACAUUUGAG
rnacentral:lncRNA from 1 species